GUGCUCACUUGGGUAACGCAUAUACUAAAAUUGGAAUAAUACAGAGAAGAUUACCAUGUACGAGGCCCCUGUACAAGGAUGACAUGCAAAUUCGUGAAUCAUUCCCAUGUUCU
ensembl:snRNA U6 U6 spliceosomal RNA